CCCUUAGAUGUUCUGGGCCGCACGCGCGCUACACUGAUGCAUUCAACGAGUCUAAAACCUGGUCUGAUAGGGCUGGGUAAUCUUUUGAAUGUGCAUCGUGAUUGGGAUAGAUGAUUGCAAUUCUUCAUCUUCAACGAGGAAUGCCUAGUAAACGCAAGUCAUCAGCUUGCAUUGAUUACGCCCCUGCCCUUUGUACACACCGCCCGUCGCUCCUACCGAUUGAAUGUUCCGAUGAAUACCAUGGACUGAGAGUAUGAAUGGGUUCGCCUAUUUCUGCUUCUCGGGAAGUGGAGUAAAUCUUAACAUUUAGAGGAAGGAGAAGUCGUAACA
rnacentral:rRNA from 1 species